CAAGAUGGUGAACUAUGGGGAAAAGUCUGGUUCUGCCCUUACCUGAGCUGAGACUCUGCCCUGUUGGUAUUCUGCGUGUGUCUUCACGGACGCUGUAUCUCUGAGCCCAAAGGCUCUCCUAUUCUGUGUAUUGGAGGGGAGGGAUCCAGCACGCAUGUGCCAGUUAGCGUAGGUAUAUGGUGGAGAUUGCUGCUCCCACAGACAUAUAUAUUGAUAGACCCCCUUUUGGCUGCUUGGGUGCAGGAAAUGUGGUCGCCAUCUUAGAUCGGUCGAGCUUCCGGCAGACACGAACCAUAGCAGCAGUGAACAAGAUGCCUGAGCUCUGUGCAGAUUACUUUUGCUCUAUUCAGCAAACCAUUGAGACCAAAGCUCGGGGGAUAACUUUUAACAACUUUCCCACAAAAGACGUGAGGAAGAAGAGUGAGGCUUCCUGCAGCUGAUUUAUUCUGAUCAGAGCUGGGCCGUGUCAGACUCCGAGAUGGAGUUUAUUCUUCAGCUUCCUGGUUCUCCUUCAGAGAGUAACACAGGCUGGUGAGUGUGGUGUUGUGCUGGAGUGGGCCCUGGAGGAAACAGAACGCCACUGCCACCUUAUGUCGCUGCAGCAAAACAACAGAAACAUCCACCAGAGUGUGCCGUCUCCAUUUGUCUCAAAAGUUACAUGAAGCAGUAAUUAUAAUGUAGAUAACGGCCUUAUUUAGAAAUGUCACGUUUAUUAGAUCUGAUCAAUAGUUUAUACAACCUAUAUGAUGUUUCUGUGCGACUAUAAUCAAUCUCCAAGUUGAUGAAAAUAUCUUCCACUGGAUAAGUGACCAUUGGUCAAAACACAUGCAAACAAAAGCGAUUCUCAGCAGACAAAAAAGAGGUUAGCUGUCAUUUAUAUUUCUCGAGGCAAGUUUUUAUGUAACCACAACAAAAACAUGCAUGUGUAACGCUCUUUAAUAAAGUCCCAGUGAGAACU